rnacentral:rRNA from 1 species
GAUGAACGCUGGCGGCGUGCCUAAUACAUGCAAGUCGAGCGAAUGGAUUAAGAGCUUGCUCUUAUGAAGUUAGCGGCGGACGGGUGAGUAACACGUGGGUAACCUGCCCAUAAGACUGGGAUAACUCCGGGAAACCGGGGCUAAUACCGGAUAACAUUUUGAACCGCAUGGUUCGAAAUUGAAAGGCGGCUUCGGCUGUCACUUAUGGAUGGACCCGCGUCGCAUUAGCUAGUUGGUGAGGUAACGGCUCACCAAGGCAACGAUGCGUAGCCGACCUGGGAGGGUGAUCGGCCACACCGGGACUGAGACACGGCCCAGACUCCUACGGGAGGCAGCAGUAGGGAAUCUUACGCAAUGGACGAAAGUCUGACGGAGCAACGCCGCGUGAGUGAUGAAGGCUUUCGGGUCGUAAAACUCUGUUGUUAGGGAAGAACAAGUGCUAGUUGAAUAAGCUGGCACCUUGACGGUACCUAACCAGAAAGCCACGGCUAACUACGUGCCAGCAGCCGCGGUAA